rnacentral:rRNA from 1 species
UGAAUACGAGAUGCUACGGCGUCGAAGCAGUCUAUGUCAUACUUCCAAGAAAAGCUUGCACUGUCAUAAACAAAUAAUGCCUGUACCAUAACCGACACAGGUGGGUAGGUAGAGUAUACUAAGGGGCGCGAGAUAACUCUCUCUAAGGAACUCGGCAAAAUGACUCCGUAACUUCGGGAGAAGGAGUGCCUUAUUUAUAAGGUUGCAAUAACAAGAUCCAAGCAACUGUUUACCAAAAACACAGGUCUCCGCUAAGUCGUAAGACGAUGUAUGGGGGCUGACGCCUGCCCAGUGCCAGAAGGUUAAAGAAGUUGGUUAGCAUCCGCGAAGCUGAUAACUGAAGCCCUGGUGAACGGCGGCCGUAACUAUAACGGUCCUAAGGUAGCGAAAUUCCUUGUCGGGUAAGUUCCGACCCGCACGAAAGGCGUAAUGAUUUGGAUACUGUCUCGGAGAGGGGCUCGGUGAAAUAGACUUGUCUGUGAAGAUGCGGACUACCUGCACCAGGACAGAAAGACCCUAUGAAGCUUUACUGUAACCUGAAAUUGAAAUUGGACUUUACUUGCGCAGUAUAGGUGGGAGGCGUUGAGAAUAUUCUUGCGGGAUUAUUGGAGCCAUCAGUGAGAUACCACUCUUGUAAUGUUAGAUUCUAACUUUGUAUCAUUAUCUGGUCAAAGAACAGUUUCAGGCGGGCAGUUUGACUGGGGCGGUCGCCUCCUAAACGGUAACGGAGGCGCACAAAGGUUUCCUCUGAACGGGUAGAAAUCGUAUCUAGAGUGUAAAGGCAUAAGGAAGCUUGACUGUGAGACCUACAAGUCGAGCAGGGACGAAAGUCGGUCUUAGUGAUCUGACGGUGCUGAGUGGAAAGGCCGUCACUCAACGGAUAAAAGUUACUCUAAGGAUAACAGGCUGAUCUCCCCCAAGAGUUCACAUCGACGGGGAGGUUUGGCACCUCGAUGUCGGCUCAUCGCAUCCUGGGGCGGUAGUACGUCCCAAGGGUUGGGCUGUUCGCCCAUGAAAGCGGUACGCGAGCUGGGUUCAGAACGUCGUGAGACAGUUCGGUCCAUAUCCGGUGUAGGCGUUAGAAUAUUGAGAGGAGCCUUCUUUAGUACGAGAGGACCGAGAAGGACAUACCUCUGGUGUACCAGUUAUCGUGCCAACGGUAAACGCUGGGUAGCUAUGUGUGGAGUGGAUAACCGCUGAAAGCAUCUAAGUGGGAAGCCCACCUCAAGAUAAG